AACUUCUUGCGCGAGUACGAUUCGAGAUGUGUUCGGGAACGCUUGUGUGUUUUGCUCACUCCGCUUUGGAUUGAUUAGACGGCUUUUGGACGUCGUAUCAGUGUUGUUAUUCGGUGCGGCAUCUUCAAAGGGAUUUGCGAUGUUCUGCUGCUUUUUGUUGCUCAAUUAAAAUUUGUUUUUGUUAAUACUCCGGUGACAAGUUUUAUGAAGGGAAUCCUCUUCUGUAUUUCAAGUGACAACACUCAAAAAAUGUGCCCUUCUACCGUUCGUCUCUAGCUUUGAGAACUAAUUACCUUGCAGAAAAGGCUCAUGUGUUUUGAUAAGCGCUAACUAGAGCUUAAACAAGAGUGAUUAAAGUUACAGUGUGUCCAACUAAAGUGAUCGUCUAGUAACGGACAAGUUGACCUCGCAAGAACCACAAAAUGGGGAUCGAAAUCAACAAAAAAUUGCUUCCCAUGAAAGCACAUUAUUUCCUCUACAAUGCUGGAACUGCCCCGGUGGUGCCGUUCAUGCCAACGUUGGUCCGGCAGCUAGGAUUUUCAACCGUGAUUGUGGGAACCAUCUACACCGUUUUGCCGAUCGUUGGCAUGCUGGUGAAGCCCCUGUUCGGGAUCAUUGCCGAUCGGUUUCAGAGGCAGAAACUAUUGUUCCUAUUAUUUCAGAUACUCACAGCUUUGCCGUUUUUCCUUAUUAUGUUCAUACCUGCCAUACCGCAAGAAUCGACAGUGUCCUUCCAUUGCCACGAAGGAGCUUCCGACCUACGAUACUGUCCCCCGAACGGAACGACACUGGACAGUUGCCUCACGGAUCGGAUAGUGGACGAGAACAGUAGCAACGUAACCAUCCACUGCCGGAUGGAUUGCCACACAGAACCGUGGAUGUGGGACACCAUCUGUGACUAUUGGAAGAUAGAAAAGUACUGCGAUAAGAGCAACAUUCCCUCAGAUGGACACCUAAGGCUGACCGGGCUGGUUCCGGCCAAUCGCAUUGAGUUGCUGAAUGAUUGUUUGUUUUUCGUUCUCAAAGGAGCGGAAAUGAACGGAAAUCAUGUGCCGCUUUACUGCCCAGCUAAUACGACCGGUGAUUUCAGAACCAGCUGCCAGGUGAACUGCGACAAUGCACUGAUCAACGAGGCCAUCACCCAUUCCAAGAUCGACGACGACGAGGCCAAGGGAUUGUAUCAAUUCUGGUUGUUGUUCCUGUUUCUGAUCCUGAGCUGGGCCGGCAUGGCCGUUGUGGUUAGCGUGGGCGAUGCCAUUUGCUUCGAAAUGCUCGGCGAUCGGCCCCAUCUUUACGGAAACCAAAGACUGUGGGGUUCGAUCGGGUGGGGAACAUUCUCGCUGUUGGCCGGAUUUUUGGUAGACCAAUUUUCCAAUGGCAAAGCUAGCAAGGAUUACACGGUAGUUUUCUACAUGACGGUCGUUAUUAUUGCGGUAGAUAUUUUGGUGUCCUCCAAACUGAAGCAUACUCAAAGUAGACUUUCAACAAACAUCGUACGAGAUGUUGGCCAAAUAUUCGUUUCCUUCAGAGUGGUGGUAUAUUUUCUUUGGUGCGUUGCAGUUGGUUUAGGGACGGCAUUGAUUUGGAACUUCCUGUUCUGGCACUUGGAAGACCUAGCAAGUGCUCAGCAAGGCUGCGAUCAUGCCGCCUGGAUCAAAACGCUAGAAGGUAUCGUUAUGUCGAUUCAAUGCUUCGGUGGUGAACUGCCGUUCUUUUUCCUGUCGGGAUGGAUACUGAAGAAAAUCGGUCACAUCAAUGCCAUGAGUGUGGUGCUGUUGGGAUUCGGAGUACGUUUUUUGCUCUACUCACUGCUAGUCGAUCCAUGGUGGGUCAUACCGAUUGAGUUUCUGAACGGCAUCACCUUCGGUUUGUUUUACGCCACGAUGGCUUCCUAUGCCAGCAUUGUUGCACCACCAGGAACAGAAGCAACUAUGCAGGGUCUAGUUGGCGCAGUAUUCGAAGGUGUCGGAGUGUCUUGCGGCAGUCUGCUGGCGGGUCAUCUGUUCUUCAACGUCGGAGGAAGCCAAACGUUCCGGUACUUCGGCAUUGCGGCUCUGAUUUUGUGCGCCGUUCACGCAACUGUUCAAUUUCUUCUCGACCGUUUCGGAACAAAGGGUAAGCAAGUGGAGGAAAAGGUUGCCACCAGUACAUUUUUGAAUGAAACCGAUCUGCCAGGAUCAAAAGGAACAGGUCCCGGUCUGGGGAAAAGUGAUUCCGUGGUAUCCGAGUCGACCAUUCAGGAAGAAUUAUCUAUAGCCCAUUCUAGUGCAGCAGAAAAAAAAGAAACUCCUAAGGACACGAACAGUAAUCCUCGGAAAGAAAACGGAGAUUUUUAUGAUGUUAAUUUGAAGGAGUAAUUUAGGUCAUAAGAACAAUAUCGGAAUGUAUACGUUUAUUUGAGGUGCCAUUUUUUUGAAUGUUAUUUCGUUUCUCAAAAUUCAAAUUCCUUGUCAUCAAAACCGUUAUGCCUCACAGCCCUUAUCCUGCUAAUUGAGACUACGUUAACUCCACUCAAUUCGUAUUGCAUGAAAAAAGUACAAACCACGUAAUCGAAACGUUUCGAGUUGAAUUAUUUUAUAAGUACUCAUCGCAGCGUUCAUAAAAAUUAAGUUUGUUAUUUCCUACUUUUUCAUAAAAAAUAAAGACUGCCGAACAAAGUUUUGCACAACCAAAUUCUUGUUCCUUAAAUUUCACCAAAAAAAUUGGCUACACCAUUUCAUUACCGCGCAACGGAUGCAACAAUGUAGACGGUUUUGAAUCUUUUAUUGAUGGCAUUUUCGUGGUAGAUAGCAUUUGAUGGGCUGUCUUCAUCAGAUAGAGGGCAACUGAGUACCUGCGAUAAGAAUUGUGACCAAACAGCGUAUCAGCCUUCGAAUUAAAGGAGCUGAUUACUUUUCGACGAUUAGGCGACUUGAACCGUGACCGUUACUGAAGAUAUACUCGCCUUGGGUACGUAUCACCAGAUGACGCUAUGAACCAGAUGCAGGACGAUCAACCGAUUGUCUACGGAGGAAAAUAACAACCUCGAAACAUGACACUGUCAUCACAGACGAAUAAUAUUCAACCAGUCGCAACCAGUCAACAUCAUAUUUCAGUGAUAAUAAAUGCAAUUUUAUUGAUAUGAUUAAAAGCACAUUUUAAAAGUAUAAAAUAUAGUAUUUAAAAAUCGUUAAAAACGAU